rnacentral:rRNA from 1 species
CCUACGGGGGGCAGCAGUGGGGAAUAUUGGGCAAUGGGCGCAAGCCUGACCCAGCAACGCCGCGUGAAGGAAGAAGGCCCUCGGGUUGUAAACUCCUUUUAUCAAGGACGAAACAAAUGACGGUACUCGAUGAAUCAGCCACUGCUAACUACGUGCCAGCAGCCGCGGUAAUAAGUAGGCGGGAAGCGUUAUCCGGAUUUACUGGGUGUAAAGGGCGUGUAGGCGGGACUGGACGUCAGAUGUUACAACCAUGGGCUCAACCACUGGUCUGCAUGUGAAACUGUAGUUCUUGAGUGUGGGAGAGGCAGGCGGAAUGCGGGGUGUAGGGGUGAAAUGCGUAGAUAUAAGGAGGAACACCAGUGGCGAAGGCGGCCUGCUGGACAAUAACUGACGCUGAGGCGCGAAAGCGUGGGGAGCAAACAGGAUUAGAUACCCCUGUAGUC